AUUGAACGCUGGCGGCACGCCUAACACAUGCAAGUCGAGCGGUAACAGGAUUAGUAGCAAUACUAGUUGCUGACGAGCGGCGGACGGGUGAGGAAGACGUAGGAACUUGCCUAAUAGAGGGGGAUAACCAAGGGAAACUUUGGCUAAUACCGCAUACAUUCGAGAGAAGAAAGGCGCUGAAAGGCGUUGCUAUUAGAGAGGCCUGCGUCCGAUUAGCUCGUUGGUGAGGUAAGAGCUCACAAAGGCGAUGAUCGGUAACUGGUCUGAGAGGACGGGCAGUCACACUGGGACUGAGACAGGGCCCAGACUCCUACGGGAGGCAGCAGUGGGGAAUAUUGGACAAUGGGGGCGACCCUGAUCCAGCGAUGCCGCGUGGGUGAAGAAGGCCUUCGGGUUGUAAAGCCCUUUAGGCCGGGACGAAAGCAGAUGGAGGAAAGGCCAUUUGGUGGACAGUACCGGCAGAAUAAGAACCGGCAAACUCUGUGCCAGCCGCCGCUGUAA
rnacentral:rRNA from 1 species